rnacentral:rRNA from 1 species
GAUCAUGGCUCAGGAUGAACGCUGGCGGCGUGCCUAACACAUGCAAGUCGAACGGACUUUUCAUGAAGCCUAGCGAUUGAAAAGUUAGUGGCGGACGGGUGAGUAACGCGUGGGUAACCUGCCUUGUACUGGGGGACAACAGUUGGAAACGACUGCUAAUACCGCAUAAGCGCACAGCUUCGCAUGAAGCAGUGUGAAAAACUCCGGUGGUACAAGAUGGACCCGCGUCUGAUUAGCUGGUUGGUGAGGUAAUGGACUACCAAGGCGACGAUCAGUAGCUGGUUUGAGAGGAUGAUCAGCCACAAUGGGACUGAGACACGGCCCAUACUCCUACGGGAGGCAGCAGUAGGGAAUUUUGCGCAAUGGGCGAAAGCCUGACGCAGCAACGCCGCGUGUGUGAUGACGCCCUUCGGGGUGUAAAACACUGUCAGUAGGGACGAAUUUUGACGGUACCUACAGAGGAAGCACCGGCUAACUCCGUG